GAUGAACGCUGGCGGCGUGCCUAAUACAUGCAAGUCGAGCGAACAGACGAGGAGCUUGCUCCUCUGACGUUAGCGGCGGACGGGUGAGUAACACGUGGAUAACCUACCUAUAAGACUGGGAUAACUUCGGGAAACCGGAGCUAAUACCGGAUAAUCUAUUGAACCGCAUGGUUCAAUAGUGAAAGACGGUUUUGCUGUCACUUAUAGAUGGAUCCGCGCCGCAUUAGCUAGUUGGUAAGGUAACGGCUUACCAAGGCGACGAUGCGUAGCCGACCUGAGAGGGUGAUAGGCCACACGGGAACGGAGACAGGGUCCAGACUCCUACGGGAGGCAGCAGUAGGGAAUCGUCCGCAAUGGGCGAAAGCCUGACGGAGCAACGCCGCGUGAGUGAUGAAGGUCUUCGGAUCGUAAAACUCGGUUAUGAGGGAAGAACAAAUGUGUAAGUAACUAUGCACGUCUUGACGGUACCUAAUCAGAAAGCCACGGCUAACUACGUG
rnacentral:rRNA from 1 species